UACGAAGGGGGCUAGCGUUGUUCGGAUUUACUGGGCGUAAAGCGCACGUAGGCGGAUCGUUAAGUCAGGGGUGAAAUCCCGGAGCUCAACUCCGGAACUGCCUUUGAAACUGCAGUGCUAGAAUCUUGGAGAGGCGAGUGGAAUUCCGAGUGUAGAGGUGAAAUUCGUAGAUAUUCGGAAGAACACCAGUGGCGAAGGCGACUCGCUAGACAAGUAUUGACGCUGAGGUGCGAAAGCGUGGGGAGCAAACAGG
rnacentral:rRNA from 1 species